GGGGAAUUAGCUCAGUGGGAGAGCGUCUGCCUUGCAAGCAGAGGGUCAAGGGUUCAAAUCCCUUAUUCUCCA
rnacentral:tRNA from 1 species